rnacentral:rRNA from 1 species
ACGCUGGCGGCAUGCUUUACACAUGCAAGUCUCAACGGUAACGCGGGCUUCGGCCUGGCGACGAGUGGCGAACGGGUGAGUACAACAUCGGAACGUAUCCUUUAGUGGGGGAUAGCCCGGCGAAAGCCGGAUUAAUACCGCAUGAUCUCUGAGGAGCAAAGCGGGGGACUUUCGGGCCUCGCGCUGUUGGAGCGGCCGAUGCCGGAUUAGCUUGUUGGUGGGGUAAGAGCCUACCAAGGCGACGAUCCGUAGCUGGUCUGAGAGGAUGAUCAGCCACACUGGAACUGAGACACGGUCCAGACUCCUACGGGAGGCAGCAGUGGGGAAUUUUGGACAAUGGGGGCAACCCUGAUCCAGCCAUGCCGCGUACGGGAAGAAGGCCUUCGGGUUGUAAACCGCUUUCAUACGGAACGAAAUGGUGCCGGUUAAUACCCGGUAUUGAUGACGGUACCGUAAGAAGAAGCACCGGCUAACUACGUGCCAGCAGCCGCGGUAAUACGUAGGGUGCGAGCGUUAAUCGGAAUUACUGGGCGUAAAGCGUGCGCAGGCGGCUCUUUAAGACAGGUGUGAAAUCCCCGGGCUUAACCUGGGAAUUGCGCUUGUGACUGGAGAGCUCGAGUGCGGCAGAGGGGGAUGGAAUUCCUGGUGUAGCAGUGAAAUGCGUAGAUAUCAGAGGAACACCGAUGGCGAAGCAGUCCCCUGGGUCGACACUGAC